UACGAAGGGGGGCUAGCGUUGUUCGGAUUUACUGGGCGUAAAGCGCACGUAGGCGGAUUGUUAAGUCAGGGGUGAAAUCCUGGAGCUCAACUCCAGAACUGCCUCUGAUACUGGCAAUCUCGAGUCCGGAAGAGGUGAGUGGAACUCCUAGUGUAGAGGUGGAAUUCGUAGAUAUUAGGAAGAACACCAGUGGCGAAGGCGGCUCACUGGUCCGGUACUGACGCUGAGGUGCGAAAGCGUGGGGAGCAAACAGG
rnacentral:rRNA from 1 species